rnacentral:lncRNA from 1 species
CUAUAUCACCAACGGUCAUUUCUAACACCUUGUCCUUCACUGCAAAUUUGUGUUCACCGAUGUAUCUUCCAACAAGGUCGUCCAGAUGAAAUGGAUUCACGAUGACCUCGACAUCGUUCAGGAAAUGACCGAAUUCCAGACUCCUUAUGCAUGCGAAGAAUUCUUCAGGAAGUUGAUCCUUCACUAAUAAAUAUGCGUUCAUCGUACCCGAGUAGCAGCAUCUGUUUUGUAUGAGGCAGUGACCUGUAACCAAAUAUUUUUUAUUCUUAAUAGUCUGAAUUUUAACAAUUAUUGUAUAAUUGAUUGAAAACAAUUUCUUAGACGUACUGUUUUUCGCACCCCUGACGUACGAUUUGGGGAACUCAGCAUUAGGCAGUUCAUCAAUUUCCACAUAUAGCCUCGCCUUCUUAGUCUUCUUCUUCUUAUCUGCAUCAAGUAAUCGAUUAAGUAAUAUAAUAAUUUAGUAAUGAGAAUUUCAAAUUAAAAUUACCAAUGUUGCUAUCUUUUGCCUUUCUUUUCAGAUCCUUCUUUGGGAGCAAUUGACAUAGUGGCAUGUCGUCUGGUAGUUCAUUCAUCAAUUCAUCCAUCUCCAUAUCCUGAUUGUAAUCUUCGUCUGAAUCACUUCCACCUACAUGAAUACGCAUAAGUUCGACUACUAGACGAAAUAGUCAAUAGAUUUAAUACAAUUCGUAUAAUACUGACUAGAUGAAUGAUGAGACUCUUUUUCUGCUUUCGAAUAUUUAGAUUCAAUCAUAGGAGCUUUACCCUUGGGCUUAAGUUUUUUUCAAGAAUUACUUUACGAGCAACCACCUUACGGUGCUUUGAUGGACUUCCAGGCAUUAUCUUAGACUUUCUAGGCAAUGUAUCUCCAUCUGGAAAAAAUAUUUUCCCAGAACGUAGUGUUCUGAUAAAAACAGAUUUGUCGGACGAGAAUGUUUUUUCUUUGUUCUUCACACUCCUUACAAUACUACAGUCCACUUCUUAAUUUGUCGGAUGACGACGAUAUCAGAGAUAUAGAUCCUAAAGCACUAAAAGGGCUAGACUUAUCAACAUGUACGGAGGGGGGAUCAACAUGUCACUACAAGAAAACUGGGCUACGCCCACGGGAUUAGCCACGGCUUUUUUAGCCGUGGCUAAGCCCGUGGCUAAUCUUUAUAUUUAGCCACGGAUGCAAAAAUCCGUGGCUAAUCCCAUGGCUAAUUUUCCCGGCAAAAUUCCCUCCAAUUUUUCAUUGAAUAUUUAGCCACGGCUGUUAAAAUCCGUGGCUAAUCCGUGGCUAAAAUUUCUGGCAAAAUUUCCCUCCAAUUUUCCACUGAAAUUUAGCCACGGAUUUGGCCACGGAUUUAGGAGCCGUGGCUAAUUUAGUGACAAAUAAAUUAGCCACUGAUAUUAGCCACGGCAUUUAGCCCUGGCUAAUAAUGAUAAUAGGGUUAGGGUUAAUGUAAAUGUAAAUAAUUAGGGUUAGGGUUAAUUUAAAUGUAAAUAAUUAGGGUUAGGGUUAGGGUGAGGGUUAGGAUUAGGAUUAGGAUUAAUAGAAAUUAACAAAAAUUAGUAAAAAUAAGUAUAUAUACAUAUUUAGAUAGUGUUAGGGUUAGAAAUUAGGGUUAAAUGUAAGAGUUAGAAGUAGAAGUUAGGGU